rnacentral:rRNA from 1 species
AGACAAACGCUGGCGGCGUGCUUAAGCAUGCAAGUUGAGCGGCAAGGAGGAGAGAUCCUCCCUAGAGCGGCGGACUGGUGAGUAACGCGUGGGUAAUCUAUCGUAGGCAUGGGGAUAGUCACUAGAAAUAGUGGGUAAUACCGAAUACGUUCCAUGAGGGGAGUAUUCAUGGAAGAAAGGGUGCUACGGCACUGGCCUUAGGUGAGCUCGCGUCCCAUUAGCUAGUUGGUGAGGUAAAGGCCCACCAAGGCGAUGAUGGGUAGCCGGCCUGAGAGGGUGUACGGCCACACUGGGACUGAGAUACGGCCCAGACUCCUACGGGAGGCAGCAGCUAAGAAUAUUCCGCAAUGGACGGAAGUCUGACGGAGCGACGCCGCGUGGAUGAAGAAGGCCGAAAGGUUGUAAAGUUCUUUUGCUAGGGGAGAAUAAGUGUGGGAGGGAAUGCCUGUACGAUGACAAGGACUAGCGAAUAAGUCCCGGCCAACUACGUG